UAUAUAUAUAUAUAUAUCUCUUCCCACCAUCUUCUCCAUUAAUUCCAAAUCUGAGAAGAGAAGCACAACGAAAAUAGUUCCAGCAAUUGCAAAUUAUCCUAUCCAAUUGAAGAUCGAAAAGGGUAAAUUUGUGCACGUCGAUUGCUGUGAGAACGAAAAGUGAUUGAGGAGUUAAGCGUUUGAGGUUGAGCGUGACGGGUGCGGUGGGUGUUGAGCAAGACCGUUG